GGCCCCGCCGCCACCCUCCGCGCUGGGACGCCGGGGCGCGGGCAUCCCUGCCCCCUACGGGUCUCUUCCCAAGCACCUAGAACUUUCCAAAGCGUGCUUGGAAUUUAGCACCUUGGUCGUCGAGCCCCGCAAAUGUACUCUGAUGAGACCGGCUUUCUUCCCCUACCGCCCAGGAGUUUCUCCAGGUGGCAUUCCUGUCGCCUUGAGGUGGAACAUCAGUAGAGGCUCGAGGCUGAAGCAAGCACAAUACACAAGAGACUCCGAUUCGUACAGGAACAUUUCGAAAACAGGAAAUCCUGAGGACAAUAGAUUCUACCAAAUUGUGUAAGUUAGCCCACCAAAACCUGGAUCUGCCCGAAUCUCAAGCAGCAUGGGAGAAUGAACAUUUGAACCUAUCUACCGAGAAGAUUCGCCUCUCCUUGCCAACCACUUGGAGCCAUCAGUCCGAACCCGUCGAGACAUAAGCAUUCCAGUUCUACAGGAACUAGAUCAUUAGAGAAAAAGCAAGUCAUCUCUCUGUGAGGGAACAGUCAACCCGGCCAGGUGAGAGUGGUGACAGCUUUAUUAUAUAAAGAGGGAAAAACACCUUUAACUUGUUAGGUGCUGGGAUUG